CGACCGGCGCACGGGUGAGUAACGCGUAUGUAAUCUACCUGUAACAGAGGGAUAACCCGGAGAAAUCCGGACUAACACCUCAUAGCACAUAUUAUUCGCAUGAAUUUUAUGUUAAAGAGACUCGGUUACAGAUGAACAUGCGUUCCAUUAGCUAGUUGGCGGGGUUACGGCCCACCAAGGCAACGAUGGAUAGGGGUUCUGAGAGGAAGGUCCCCCACACUGGUACUGAGACACGGACCAG
rnacentral:rRNA from 1 species